GAUGAAGAACGUAGCAAAAUGCGAUAAGUAAUGUGAAUUGCAGAAUUCAGUGAAUCAUCGAAUCUUUGAACGCACAUUGCGCCCGCCAGUAUUCUGGCGGGCAUGCCUGUUCGAGCAUCAUUUCAACCCUCAAGCACAGCUUGGUGUUGGGACUCGCGUUAAUUCGCGUUCCCCAAAUUGAUUGGCGGUCACGUCGAGCUUCCAUAGCGUAGUAGUAAAACCCUCGUUACUGGUAAUCGUCGCGGCCACGCCGUUAAACCCCAACUUCUGAAUGUUGACCUCGGAUCAGGUAGGAAUACCCGCUGAACUUAAGCAUAUCAAUAAGCGGAGGA
rnacentral:misc_RNA from 1 species